GAUUUCCAUUUUUAAGAGAAGACUUUCCUCCUAAAGCUCAGUGAAGCAUUUAUAAUUCUUUUUAGAACAUCGUGUUUUUAUACCUACAAAUAAUGUCAAAGCAGGGUCAUGGUGCUUUAUGAAUCCAAACAUGAUAUAGGCCAGUAAAGGAGUCAGUUUCAUUGUAUUAAAAGUGGCCUGAGCUCAUAAAGUGGAUUCUUCAGACUAGCUUUGAUCUGAUCCUAGACUGACUCUUACUGCAAGACUCUUUUUCUAAUUUUCUUAAAGCAUCCUGCCAGUUUGUUAGAUAAAAUAUUCCUGACUCUUUGGUUUAGGAAAGUACUUGGGUGAAUUUUGCGUAUGCAAACUGUUGCUGUGGUUUGCACUUUGGUGAAGGUCAUUGCUGAUUUGAUUUAGAUGUGAUCUGUUCAUAGCCACUCAUGUCAGAGAACCAGAAGCUGCCUGGCUUGGUGUGAAGCAUGUCAUGCCAGACCCAGUGAAUUCUCCUAAGUGUGACUCUAUUCAGCUCUGAAUUUUAGAAACAACCAGACCUACUGGAAGCUUGUUGAGUGAGAGGCAGCCCAGAGGGCUCUGAGUGGACCAUUCAGAAGAGCCUGGUACCAAAUUGCCAGAAUUCAUCCUUCUGUUCCCUUGGUAUCAGCCAGGGCUUUCUCUAAAAAGGAUGUUGUUUGUCUUUUAGACAUAUAGGGGAAGAUGUCCAAAAGAAUGCAGAGCAAAUUGUCUUGAUGUGGGUUUUUCCAAAAGCUGACCCCAAGAUAAAUUUAAAUGCAAGUGGGUUAUUUGAUGGCUGACACUAUGAGCCUAGGUAGGAAGUGAGAAAGUGAGACAGAGAGAGGAAAGACGCUGAUAAAGUGUGACACUGAUAUCAGGCUUAUCGCCACUGUGGGGAAACCUUGCCUGGGAUCUGGGGGACAGUGUAGAACACAUGUCAGUCAUUGCACCUUGGGACAAAUGCAGCAAGGAUGCUAGAUAGUGAUCCAUCAACUCCCCUUCUUUCAUUGGUUGAGGGCUGCUUCCUGGUGCUCAGGCGCCUGCAGCAAAAGGAAAAGAAAGUGCUCAGGCCAAGAGUGGCAGGUCCUGGCAGUCAAGCAGCCUUGGUGUGCAAAGGUGAUGCUGGGUGCCAUGGACAAAGACUACAUCUGCAUCAUGGCCACCAGAGUGGGAACCAGGUCCCUGAGUGGAGAGAAAAGAUCCUAUUUCAGUCUGUUCAGGCUGAUGUAACAAUGACUACAAACUGGGUGGCUUACAACUGGGAGUCCAGGAUUGUGGCAGCAGCAUGGUGAGGGGGCUGGGGUUCUGCAGUGCAGGUUGCAGACUGCUGACUCCUUGCUGUGUCUUUACCGGGUGGGAGGGGCUAGGGAGCUCUGUGGGGUCUCUUAUAAGAGCACUCAUCCCAUUCAUGAGGACUCUGCCUCUCAGUACCACCUCCUAAUACCCUCAGGGUGGCAUUAAGACUUCAACGUAUGUGUUGUGGGAGGGCACAAUAGUGAAUCCACCCCAGGGAAACUGCCUCAACUGGAAAAAGCUGUAGUGAUGGGGAGUUCCCAUUUCAGUGCCGCAGAAACGAAUCCGACUAGAAACCAUGAGGUUGCAGGUUCAGUCCCUGGUCUCACUCAGUGGGUUAAGGAUCUAGUGUUGCCAUGAGCUGUGUUGUAGGUCGCAGAUGUGGCUUGGAUCCUGAGUUGCUGUGGCUGGGACAUAGGCAGCAGCUGUAGCUCCAAUAUGACCCCUAACCUGGGAACCUCCAUAUGCUGAGGGUGCAGCAAAAAAACAAAAAAAACAAAAAAAA
rnacentral:lncRNA from 1 species